UGUAGUCAGGUGGUACGUCAACUCACCCUGUGUACAUGGCUGUUAUCUGUAGUCAGGUGGUACGUCAACUCACCCUGUGUACAUGUCUGUUGUCUGUAGUCAUGUGGUAAUCAACUCACCCUGUGUACAUGGCUGUUGUCUGUAGUCAGGUGGUAUAUCAACUCACCCUGUGUACAUGUUGUCUGUAGUCAGGUGGUACAUCAACUCACCCUGUGUACAUGUCUGUUAUCUGUAGUCAGGUGGUAUGUCAACUCACCCUGUGUACAUGGCUGUUGUCUGUAGUCAUGUGGUACGUCAACUCACCCUGUGUACAUGGCUGUUAUCUGUAGU